rnacentral:lncRNA from 1 species
GAAAAAGGACCAAAACGGAACAAAGCGAUAGAUCGAGGACCAAGUUGCAAAUAAUCCAUAGAUGAGACGGGAAAUGAAAUGAAGAUUCAAGAGUGUUAAAGUUCAAUCGGAUGAGGAAAGGAGUCAAGAGGUGAAAUAUGGUCGAAGUAUUAUCAAGUAUCAAAUUUCAAGCGAAAAAGUUAUGCUCGUGAUUUUGAGUCUCUACUUGAGAUCCAUUUUUGGUAUAGUAAAUAUCA